CCCACCGUGCGUGUUCAGAGGUCAGAGACCAUCGUGUGUGCUGUAGGGUUUAGUAAAGAAGAUCUGUUCUGGGUCCGUCUGCCUCACUCCUGUCCUUUUGCCCUGUUUGUGUUUUUUUUUUUUUUUUUCUGUCAUUUUUGUUUCAUCGCAUCACUGGCAGCGCUUUCUACCACGGGUCAGGUUUAAAGCUGAAAACUAAAACUGUUGCACCGGGAGAACCCUGGAGAGGGCGAACUGAAGUGCCAUGCUCCAACUUUUCAAAAUGUUUGAAGAGAUAGCAAAGGAGAGUUGUUACAAUGACCCCUCGCCUUCAGAAAUUAUGAAUAAACUCGAAUAAAACGUUUUAUGUCAUGGAAGUAUUGUUUUUUUAUGAAAUAAUUGAUGAUGCAGGAUUAUCAAUGAAUUAUUAAUCUUAAUCAUCUCAUGAAUUGUUAAGUGCAGAGAAUUUACAAAAGAGAGUGCCAAGGUUAGAUUAUCCCGAAAGUUGAAUUGGCUUAUUGCUUGGAUAUCUCCAGUUGUGGAGCGAGACUAUCACCCUGAGGCAGUCGGAGGACCGCAGACCCAGAGAGACCCUCACCCUGAAGUCCUCAGAGGAAAGGAGACCCAGAGAGAGCUUCACCAUGAGGAAACCCAGAGAGAGCUUCACCAUGAAGAGAUCCAGAGAGAGCUUCACCAUGAAGUCCUCAGAGGAGAGACUUUGUUUUCUCUAUUAUCACAGUUGUUUACCCAGUUUAAUGGCAGAGAUAGAGAUGGAGCAAGCGGAAGGAUAGGAGAGAAGAGAGGGAUGAGGAAGAGAGGAAUAAGGUGAGAGCGAGGGAUAGGAGAGGAGGAGGAGAAGGAGAGUGAGGAGAGAGGAGUGGAGAGGAGAGGAGCACUCUGUGGUGACGGACGUCUCCCGGAGUGGAGACCGCGCCGCCAUCACUGACGCUGCGCUCAAACUCCCAGCUGUUGUUUGUGUUGUCAUCAUGGGCCUGCGAGCUAAUGGGAUGAUUGUGGGUGUUUUGAGAGGAGCCGUCAUCCAGGCUGCCUGAGAUAUUAGACAACCCCCCCGGACCGCCGACUCCCCCAAAUAACAGCCUGCGUCGGAGGGCACAGCCCGAACCUCACGGCCGUGUCGGAACGACGCAAAAUUCAGUUUGGGAAUUUUCGCGUCCAAAUUUGACUCAAGUCCCGUUUGGAGCCAAUGAAACACAGCUUUUUUCUGCGUUAACACGCAUUGUGCUUUGCUUCGUUGCGACAAUGUGUUUGCGUGGCGCCACAAAUAGGAGGUGAAAUUCGCACUCUGUGUGCUUUUAGGUGCUCGUUGCGGACGGAGUGACAACGAUGAGCCUGUCAAAUACUGCGGAGGUGAAGCACCCAGUAUGGGUGAUAGAUUGUGUGAGCAGAGAAAGUUGUUAUGGAAACAAAUUGACCGUCAGGUUCAGACCAAGUGGAAGCCAUGAAAGCCCGGUUGUGAAGCGACUCGGAUGUAGUUCAUCUGAAGGCCUACAGGUGGCUCGCAGGUGUUGGAUGCAAAGAAGAUCAGCCAGCAUUCAGUGACCCGUCAGCAUUAAAGUUUAGAUUUCGUUCUUUUCAUUCUAGAUUUCAGUAUCACAAAGCGGAAACUGUUUUUAUUUGUCCGGCAAGGAAUAUCAGUGGCUUCUUCAUCUCCAUAUUAAAUCUUUUGAAAGGUCCUCUUUGACAGUUUUAUAUCUUUCAAAAGUUAUUAGAAAUUGAAUAUUAAUGAGUUUUGGCAACGUAGUACCACCGCCAUUAAAUUUCCGCUCUCAAUGUGCCAAAUAUGGAUCGUUUCCCCUACUGUUUGCAAAAAUGUCAACUGUAUAAGAAAAGGAUCACUCAUAACGUGAAAUCUAAGGCUUCAUAACAGUUGAAUAAACGAAUUAGAGAGAGAGAGGGAGAGAGAGAGAGAGAGAGAGAGAGAGAGAGAGAGAGAGAGAACCAUCUCAUGAUGAUAACACUGGUCUCUCUUUGCUCUCUCGUUUACUCCCUCGCUCUCUCUCGCUCUCUAUCACCCUGUCUCUCGCUCUUGCUCUCGCUCACUUUCUUUCUUGAACCCUAAUGUCAGCGGCACCGAACACAUCAUCUCCGCGGCGAUGGUGCUAAUAAACACGACCAGCAAGCGUCUGGUCUUAACUCUUCCGUCACCCCCCCUCCCCCCCGUUGGCCCCCUCCAUGAUGGAUGUGGGUGGUGUAAUGAUAACAAUGAGUGUGUGAGCAGAGGGCGGGGGUGUAGAACGGUAUUUAUUGGUAUUAUCUCGGUUCAUGAUGUCAGCCAGACUCGAUUAACUCCGGUGGCAUGCCGGGCUGGUGGAGGUGGUGGUCUUCCUUCUAGUGAGUGGGGGGGUGUGGGUGAGGGGGGCUUGGGGGUGUGGCUUUUUUUUUCUGUCGCCCACAAAGGAAUUAUUGAAGCAGACGUCCAUAUUACAGUUGGGCGUCUGUGUUUUAUAUCUGCGUCUUUGUGUGAGUGAGUGU